rnacentral:lncRNA from 1 species
GCCAAUCCUCCUCUUUUUGCUAAGGAAGACUGGCCCUGAGCUAACAUCCAUGCCCAUCUUCCUCUACUUUAUACGUGGGACGCCUACCACAGUGUGGCUAUUGCCAGCGGUGCCAUGUCCACACUCGGAAUCCAAACCGGUGAACCCAGGGCCACUGAGAAGUAGAACAUGCGAACUUAACUGCUGUGCCACCAGGCCGGCCCCAGAUUUUUUUUUUUAAUGGAGGUUUUUCUGAUUAAAAAAGUAAUGUAUGCUCAUUAUUUUAAAAAUCAAACAAUAUAGAAACAUUAAGAAAAUAUUAAGCUUCAAAAGACUGAUAGUAAAAGUCCCUCAUAAUCCCAGCUCCCCCUCCGCUAGAUACCUAUUACUAACAGUUUGGUAUAUAUCCUUCUAGACUUUCCCAUAAGUUUGCAAAUAUAUAUAUUGUACAUUUUUAAAAAUGAAAUUUCUGAGCCAGCCCUGAUGGCCUAGUGGCUAAAAUUUGGCGCUCUCAUGGCUUUGGUGGCCUGGAUUUGUUUCCUGGGCGCAGAACCACACCAUCUGUCUGUCAGUAGCCAUGCUGUGGCGGCAGCUCACAUAGAAGAACCAGAAGGACUUACAACUAGGAUAUACAGCCAUGCACUGGGGCUUUGGAAAGAAAAAAGAAAGGAAGAUUGGCAACAGAUGUUAGCUCAGGGCGAAUCUUUGUCUGCCAAAGAGAAAAGGAAAUUAAGUUUUUCUGCAAUUUGCUUUCUUCAAUUAACAAUCUUGGACAACUUUUCAUACCCUUACAUCCUGCCCUAUAAAGUAGGGUCUCUUAUGAUCCCCAUUUAUCACUGAGGAAGCCAGGCUCAGGGAAGGCAAGUUGCCCCAGGCACACAGCCCAUGAGGGACAGGCUUGUCAGCUGCACAGGACCCAGGGCGUCCAGCCGGGAGCUGCCCACAGCUACACCGCCCACUCACCACUUUUCUCCCAGCAGCCUUGGCACCAUCGUCAGCUGCUGGGAAUUUUUAGGAAUGGAUUUCUGUGUCGUUUGUAAUAGAUCAGGAAUAUCCCGGCAAGACAGAUUGCCGGAGCCGUUGGGUGGUUUUCUGUGAGCUGAUGAAGUCCUGUCAGUUGGAAAUCAAGGCUCAUCCCUCUUGUGUGUGGAUGAUUCCUUCUCCCAGGAAGGUAGCUCCGGGUAGCAGCUCCUUUGAGGCGGGAGGUGGGGGCGGAGCGCAGCAGUGCAGACCUGCUGACCCAACGGCCUCCUGAAAUAGCCAAACAUCAGGACUGGAGGGGGCAGGCGCCGUCGGGAUUCAGCCAGGAGCAUCCCGUCACCUCUCGCUACUCAACGUGCGGUCCCAGCAUCACCUGGGAGCGGGUUAGAGAGGGCAGAAUCCCAGCCCCCAGCCCAGACCUGCUGUGUCAGAAUCUGCAUCUUUCACAAGAUCCCGGGGGGACUCCUGUGCAAAGAGCGAGUGGCCGGGCUCUGGCGGUAUUCCAGAGCCCACAGAGCCAGCCCCCGGCUUCUUCCUGGAUGCCUGGUUGAUGUGCUCAGUAUUCAAAACUUAAUAAGAGCUGGCAAUUACAGGAAGUGUCUACGUGCCAGGCAACUCCACAAGUGUUUCACUUUUAUUAACUCAUUUAAUCCUCUGAGAUGAGGUAUCAGUGCUAUACCUUUUACAAAGGAAGAAACGGAGGGGCAGAGAAGUGACCUAACUUGCCUGAGGUCACAUGCUAAUACACAGGGGAGCUGGGACACCAAGCCAGGCCCCAGGGUCUUAACCACUACCCCACGCUGCCUGCAGGAAGAUGAGCCCAUCUGAAGCAGAGCUUUCUGACAGGCAUCUCCAGAGUGGCAUUUCCAAGCGCUUACCAAUGCAUCUUGUUUCACCCCCCCGCUGCCUUCUGCCUCCCCAAAGACUGAUCACCUUAGAGAAGCCGCGAGUGCUCAGCACCAGCACCGUUGCUGCUUUCACGGUGUUACUGAGACCAAGAAGCAGCAGCAGCACGUUACAUCUUCAAAACCCUUUAUCAUCCAUCAUCUCCCUUUCUCCUCCCUAGAACCAUGCGAGAUGAGGCCAGGGUUAUUGUCCCUACCAGACGAAUGGCAAAAGGAGGCCAGAGAUGCUGAGUGACUUAGCCAAGGUCACACAGAGACUAGCAGCUGGGCCUCCUGGCUGCCUGAGCACUUUCCUUUCAUCUCCCCAGGCUGCCCCCUUUUCUAGAAGACUCCAUCCCAGUCUCCCCACCCUGAAGGUGGCCCACAGCUCCUCUCAGUACUUGCGCAGCUCUGUGGGGAGACCGGGUCCCUGAUGGAGCCUGAGCCUCUCUCGCAGGCUGCCUCCUGCCUGAAGCAAUUAUAAAUCACGGCAUUUUCCCUUCAUUCAGACCUGAUGUUUAAUUCAUCGCGAUUCUGGCUGCUUUAAUGCAGAACAUUUAUUCAGCAGAAUAGCUUUGUUUUGCCUCCCAAGCUUUCUUCUCUUCAGAGUACCAUUUCCAUUGCAGGCGGGGCUUGCUAUUAGCCAGCUUCCAGGACCCACCCCAUCCCACAAGUGUGGCCCUGCUCUGCCUUCUGUGGGGACCCCAGGGAGUCAGCUUCAGCUCCUGAAGAGGAGUCUAGACUUUUCUGUCCUUGGUCCAGACACCUGACAUUUCCCAUUUGCUCAGCCUCCCUUUCUCCCAGGCCGCAUGCCUGGUGUAAUGAGCGCCUGGCUCCCUGUGCCCACGGCUGGGAAAUUCAGCCUCCUGCCAGGUUGGCCUGCCUCAGGCCCCACAGCCCAGGUGAGGCUGCUCCUGCCCGGGACACAGGAAGCUGGACAUCCUGGGCAGGUGGCACAGCUGUCAUGUCGCACCCUUGGAGCUUCUGC